UACGGAGGGGGCAAGCGUUAUUCGGAAUUAUUGGGCGUAAAGGGCGCGUAGGCGGCUCGAUAAGUCAAAGGUGAAAUCCCUCGGCUCAACUGAGGAACUGCCUUUGAAACUGUAGAGCUUGAGUCCGGGAGGGGGUAGCGGAAUUCCCAGUGUAGCGGUGAAAUGCGUAGAUAUUGGGAGGAACACCAGUGGCGAAGGCGGCUACCUGGACCGGAACUGACGCUGAGGCGCGAAAGCGUGGGGAGCAAACAGG
rnacentral:rRNA from 1 species